rnacentral:rRNA from 1 species
AACGAACGCUGGCGGCAUGCCUAACACAUGCAAGUCGAACGAAACGAUCGGGUCUUUUGGCGCACGGCGGUGGAAGGCGUGGGAAGCUGCACUUAGGUUCGGAAUACCUCCCCGAAUGGGAUGCUAAUACCGGAUAGUGUCUUCGGACCAAAGAUUUAUUGCCUCUGGAUGGGCGGUCGUUGGAUUCGGUGGUUGGUAGGGUAAUAGCUGACCACGGCGCGGAUUCGUAGCUGGUCAGAGAGAAUGGUCAGCCACUCUUGGAGUCAGACACGGCCUAGAAUCCUACGCAAUGGAGGAGAGGGUAAUAUAGGACAAUGGGGUGAGGCCUGAUGCAGCAAUGCCGCGUAAGUGAUGAUGGCCGUAGAGAUCUAAAGCUCUUUUAACCGUGAUGAUAAUGACGGUACCGGGUGAAUAAGCUCCGGCUAACUACGUG